GGUCACACGUCGAGUUAGCUGCAAGCAGGUCCUGAAGCCUAACGCUUGUUCGCCAGCCAGGAGUGACAGCCCCUAUGCCGCGCUGCGCCCUCCACUUCCCCGCAUUUAUUGUACAGGAUUCUCGACGGCUGAAGUGCCGCCCUCCUCUGCUUCUGCCAACGGCGCCUGGCGCCCUAAGAGCGUGCAUGCCUCCCUUUCAGUGCUGGAAGUGUGCCCUUUAUUGGGGUCCCCAGAACAGCUGAGCUGUGGCUCGAGUGCUCAGAUGAAACUUCACAAAAGGCCCAGGCAUGACAAAGACAAACAGGCCUAGCCAAUCUGACUCAUGAGAUGUGGCUUGCAAUCUGGACGCAUGGGCCCUUCCAAGGUGGCAAAGGCCAUCCUAAAACUCCUAUGCCAGCCCCUUCUGAAGACAUCUACACCCCAGAAUAUCCAAAUCCCGAGACACCUGGAGAGGAGAGAGUCACCUUUGUCCUAGAAUUCCCUGGUCUUUGUUCUGGAAAUCCCACUAGCAUCCACUGCUGAAGGCUGUGGCUGGAGAACUCAU